CAGCAGCCGCGGUAAUACGUAGGUGGCGAGCGUUGUCCGGAAUUAUUGGGCGUAAAGGGAGCGCAGGCGGGCGAGUAAGUCUUUCUUAAAAGUGCGGGGCUCAACCCCGUGAGGGGAGAGAAACUGCUCAUCUUGAGUGCAGGAGAGGAAAGCGGAAUUCCUGGUGUAGCGGUGAAAUGCGUAGAUAUUAGGAAGAACACCAGUGGCGAAGGCGGCUUUCUGGACUGUAACUGACGCUGAGGCUCGAAAGCCAGGGGAGCGAACGGGAUUAGAUACCCCAGUAGUCCCUGUCUCUUAUACA
rnacentral:rRNA from 1 species